AAGUUAUGUUUGCUAGUCUGCACAAUAUAAUUUUGUGUUUUAAUCUUUUGCAUUUGAGAAUAGAACAAAAUAUAUAUAAAUAGACAAACAAAUAGCAAUUUCAUAUUAAGUUUAUACUUUCUUAUAUGUACAUAGAGAAAGAAACACAUGACUCAGUGCUGCCAACAUUAUACACUCUUGAGCCACAGUAGAUUGCUUUACAAAUGUAGUUGUACUACAGGAAAGACAUCACAGAUUGAGCAAACAGCUGGAAAACAGAGCACCACUUCACAUAGGAAUAUUGCAGCUCAUUGCACACUGGCUACAAAAUUAAACAUUGCCACAUUGACAAAUAUAUCUAAUUUUGUUUUCACAACAAAAAUAUCUUUACAAUUUAAUUUUAC
rnacentral:lncRNA from 1 species